ACAUUCCACAAUGACUUAAGUAACACAGGGUUUUAAAAUGAUUUUUCAAUAAUUGCAAGUUUCAGGAAAUAUUAGAGAGUGAGAUUAAUCAUGAUUAGAAACAUUUUUUUUAUUUUAUCAUGUCGGAAAAAUAUUAUGCAUAAUCCAAGAUAUGUGUGUAUGUAUAAGGUAAGUGUGCACAGUAUGUACCUGAAUCGUGGAGUGGUGUAGUCGAAGUGUGUUUGGCAUGUCGAGGGAUCUCCCCCAUACUUGUUUUCUGCUUUCUUACAAAAAUAAAGUAGAGACACACAAGACAUAAUAAUAAUAAUAAUACUCUUUAUUAAUCUUGAGGCAUUUAUUACAAAUAACUAGUAGCAAACUGACGAUAAUAGUAGCAAACUGAUGAUAAUAGUAAACCUAAACCGAAUUUAAAGAUAACUAAGAUGCAUUGCCUCAAGAUCUAAUCUAGAUAACUUGGCGGCGCUCUAAUUCCUUGUUCUUAUUGGCACUGGCAAGAUCCUGCCUAAGGCCUAGU
rnacentral:lncRNA from 1 species